CCAACAAGCUAUCCCAACAGUCUGAGCGAAAAUAGUAUAAAUAUCGCUGUAUCCAAGCAGUCUUCCUCUUUUCACCGCCAUUUCCGCAAGUGAAACGAGUGACAACGCUGAUCUGACAGAAGAUUGUUCUUCAAUUAUAAACAGCACAACAAAUCCAAGACAUGGCAAGCUGUGCUAAGCCAACUGUCAGCAACUGUUGCCUCGGUUUUGCCGACCGUCGUAACUACAGGAAUCAGCGCCCAGCAAGAGGCUCGGAGGACUGGGGUAAACAAGGUAUCUACGCCAUCAUGGAGCCCGACCACACACACUACGGCAAGGACAAGCCAAUCCUGUACGUCGGCAAAGGUAACAUCGGCGAUCGCCUGGAGAAACACUUCAAGGGACAGGACGGGCAGGAUAUUGGAAAGUACCUGAGCAAGAAAAAAGGCAUCGACGAUCGUCGCCUCCAGCUCGACGGUAUCAAAGUUUACUGGAAACUAAUGUGCGAGCAUUGCAGCAGUAAGCUAGAGGAUACUUUUAUCAAAUGUGUUGAAAACUCCCUGGGGUACCAUCCUCAUUACAAUCGAAUCGCUGGCAGUCACUAAGUAGAAAGAAAGUACAUUUCUUUCUAUGUACCGCCUGAAAAAGGUGAUGUUUCAACUUCGCAGAAAGUAGGCUUAAAUAAUAGACGCAGGGAGUAAAGUAAAUGAUGCAAAGAGUGAAAAUGAGUCGCGAAUAAAGCUUAGAACUGAUUCAGCUUGCAGGGUGGCAAGGCAACCGCCGGUUAUCAACUUGACCAUAAUUGAUACUUACUUUUUCGAAGCGCACCAGCUUUAUAUCGGCUUUUAUGGAAUUUUAGCAACUUUGUCAUCCAACAUCCGACAGAGUCAGAGAUAUGUUUUACAGCUAACAGCUAGUAUUUAAACAAUCCCAUUAAAUCAUAGCAUAAGUGCGCAACAAAUGUAUUUAGUAGACAUUGAAAAAUGGAAGAAACACCCGACACUACUGAAUGCUCUUAACUUAAAUCGUUUCAAGAAGCAUUAUGAAGUUUUUUCGGUGAGCUGUUCAAUAAAAUCUGACUUCCUCAGCUGA